rnacentral:rRNA from 1 species
GCAUAUCAAUAAGCGGAGGAAAAGAAACUAACAAGGAUUCCCCUAGUAACUGCGAGUGAAGCGGGAAAAGCUCAAAUUUAAAAUCUGGCGGUUUCACCGUCCGAGUUGUAAUCUGGAGAAGCGUUUUUCCGUGUCGGACCGUGCACAAGUCUCUUGGAACAGAGCGUCAUAGAGGGUGAGAAUCCCGUUUUAUGGCACGGACACCCGAUACUUUGUGAUACGUUUUCUAAGAGUCGAGUUGUUUGGGAAUGCAGCUCAAAAUGGGUGGUAAAUUCCAUCUAAAGCUAAAUAUAGGCGAGAGACCGAUAGCGAACAAGUACCGUGAGGGAAAGAUGAAAAGCACUUUGGAAAGAGAGUUAAACAGUACGUGAAAUUGUUGAAAGGGAAACGCUUGAAGUCAGUCGCGUCUUCUAGGACUCAGCCUUACUUCGGUUAGGUGUACUUCCUGGUUUGACGGGUCAACAUCGAUUUUGAUCGACGGAUAAAGGAGAAGGGAAUGUGGCACCUUCGGGUGUGUUAUAGCCCUCUUCGUAUACGUCGAUUGGGAUCGAGGACUGCAGCACGCCCUUGUGGCCGGGGGUUCGCCCUACGUAUCGUGCUUAGGAUGUUGACAUAAUGGCUUUAAGCGACCCGUCUUGAAACACGGACCAAGGAGUCUAACAUGCUCGCGAGUGUUAGGGUGGAAAACCCUUGCGCGUAAUGAAAGUGAAAGUUGGGACCUCUGCAAGGAGGGCACCGACGCCCGGCCCUGAAGUUCUCUGACGGUGCUGCGGUAGAGCGCGUAUGUUGGGACCCGAAAGAUGGUGAACUAUGCCUGAAUAGGGCGAAGCCAGAGGAAACUCUGGUGGAGGCUCGUAGCGAUUCUGACGUGCAAAUCGAUCGUCAAAUUUGGGUAUAGGGGCGAAAGACUAAUCGAACCAUCUAGUAGCUGGGUUCCUGCCGA